UGUGUUCUGUAGAGGCCCUGUGUC
rnacentral:piRNA from 1 species